rnacentral:rRNA from 1 species
ACGCUCGACACCUACGGGAGGCAGCAGUGGGGAAUAUUGCACAAUGGGGGAAACCCGUGAUGCAGCGACGCCGCGUGGAGGAAGAAGGUCUUCGGAUUGUAAACUCCUGUUGUUGGGGAAAAAGAGGAUGGUACCCAACAAGGAAGUGACGGCUAACUACGUGCCAGCAGCCGUGGUAAUCUGAGCGGGCUGCAAGC